GCGGGUGGUGGCGGAGACUUCCCCUCAGGAAGCCCGGUCUCCGCCUCCUCCUCUCACUCCGCCUGCUCGGCGGCGGAGGCGGCGGUGGCGGCAGCUGCUGUCCCUACCUCUCCGCCAUCUCCACCCCGGCCUGUCCCCCGGCCGGCGGCGUUAGCGGGGAGGGGGAACAGUAGUUGUAGACGCCCGCCCCUGCCUCAGAGAAGAUGACUGGGAAUGGAGUAUUACACAGAAAUCGAUUUUGGGAUCUCUGCAUCGUGUUUUUUAGCUUGCUGAUUGUUGCACAGUUUCACCAUGUGGGGAAAGUUCAUGCUAGAAAACUGAAGCAAUUAAUGGGUGACUAUGAUCAGAUUUCUUCACCAAGUUCUCAGCCUGAUACGAAGAUUCAUCUAUAGUCAACAUAAUGGAAAAUUCUAAGAUAUAUGACUCUUUUCAACAUGAACUUGAGGACUAUGUUAGAAAACAGAAAGCCAGAGGGUUACAACCAGAGGUUUGCUUUAGGAAGAUGACAGAGGACUCUGCAUACAGAGAAAGGAGCCACACUGCACCCAAACCUCUAAUGCUGGAGCAGAGACCCUUCUUCAGGAGGUCCCACGCAUUUUCCAAUUCCCAUGAAAGGCAGAGAGCAGUGGAAAAUCAGUUACCCCCAUGGUUCAAAUUUCAUCACUCCAAACAAAGACUGGAGUCUCUAAACCACUGUCAGGAAAAACAUGACCAUUUCUUCAAGAAUCUGUGGCUUCCAAGCCCACCUGUGCAAGGAAAGACCCCUGUCCCUCAGGCUGCACAACACAGAAAAGAUACCAGCCACCUCUGGGAGCAGGGUCCCACCAGAGCCCAUCAGGCUGGAGAUCAAGAAGGCCGGAGGCGAAGGUCCAGGGAGGAGGGGAGAGAAGGACGCAGCAAGGAGGGGCAGGUUGAGGGGAAGACAAAGCAUCAUGAGGAUGGAGAUUCCCACAAAGAGAGCAAGAAGGCCAGGGUGCAGCCAGUCAGCACAGAGAAGCCGAAACACAGAAGGAAGCGCCACCAAGAUACCACAAAGGAGGGAAGAAGGUCUCAGAGAGAGAAGAAGCAACCUGGCAAAGAAAGCACGCAGGAGAGGGACCUGUGGGAUGAAGCUAUCCUCGGCUGUUGUUAAUGAUUUUGGAGGAUUUGGGGCCCUGAUAUAAAAUGAUGUGGAUAUGUUGGAAAGGCUGGAUUAAAUGACAUUGAAGCAAUUCAAUGGCCACCACUUCAAAAAAAAAAAAUUUGAUCCCCACCUCAGAUUCUGUUCAAAUGUAAAACACAAAUGGUUUCAAUGAUGUCAGUGUAAAAACUAAAAUGUAAAACUAUUAGGAGAAAAGAUAGGAGAGGGGCUUUUAAUUUGGGACUGUGAGACACAUUAGGGUACAUAAUGUGUACCCUUCCUGAAUGAGACACAUUAGGGUACAUAAAGAUGAAAAAAUAAUAAAUGUAAUUGCAGAGACAUUUAAAAUCUAUAGAACUGAAUGUUGUUUUGUAAAUUCUUCUGAGAACAAAUUAAAAGACAAACAUUGUAUAUAUGUGCAGAACGACACCUCCAGAAAGAUACACUGAACUGUUGGCUCUGGGGGCAAAAAACCAAGUGGGUAGGGGACAGAGGUGGCAGGUAGACUAAAUUUUCAAAGUGUUCACUUAUUUUUGUUUUGAAUUUGGUAAUAUUUGUUACCUUUUAUUUUUUAAAAAAGAUUUUUAAAAAAUUUUAAGGAAUCGGGGCGCCUGGGUGGCUCAGUGGUUGAGCAUCUGCCUUUAGCUCAGGGCAUGAUCCCGGGGUCCUGGGAUCAAAUCCCACAUUGGGCUCCCCAGAGGGAGCCUGAUUCUCUCUCUCUAUGUCUCUGCCUCCCUCUCUGUGUCUCUCAUGAAUAAGAAAAUAAAAUCUUUAAAAAAAUUUUUAAGGAAUCUCUCACAACCCUGAGAUCAAGAGUCACCUGCCUACUCCACCCACUGAGACAGCCGGGUGCCCCAAGAUUAUUACCACUUAAAUAAGCAAAUAUUUUUUACGGCAAUCAACACACUGGGAAAAAAAACAUUUGCAGCACUCUAUAUUAAUAUCUUUGUGUCAGUUAUCAAAUUAUUGCUUCUUAGCUCCAAAGAGUUUCUUUGCCCCUCUGUGCAACUGGACAGAGAAACUGGUCUCCUUUGCCAGCUGGCUUGAUGCCAGUAGAGGCGCUGGAUGCCAGUAGAGGGCGCUGGAGGGACACCAUAAACUGGGACAGGAGGUCCUUCCUUUUCCCAAGGUUGCUGGUUUUCCCAUAGCAGCAAGUCCUUGCCUCUGUGUGUGUGAUGUACCUGCAGUCCAAGCCCUGUGACAAAUUUUUGGUCCCUAUUGAACUGUGUGAUCAAUGUGUUCCAUAUUCUCUCUGCAGAGGUCCAAAUCUCAGGCAUGUGGGGAACUCCUCUUCUAAGUUUCUCACUUUCUUCCAUGUUCACUUCCCUCAAAGGGUCAAGGGUGGGCAAACUGCAGCUUGCAGUCCAAAUCUAGAUGCCUUCCGGCUUCUAUACUGCCCCCCCAUUUAAGAAUAGUUCUUACAUUUGAACCCCAACCAAGCAAAAUGUUAUCCCAACAAAUGGAUCAUUCCCAUUCUUCUCAUUAAAGAACUUUAUUCCAAAGCUGGUACUCACUUACUAUUCUAUUUUUAUUUUUUAAAAUAAUUUUUAAAAGAUUUUAUUUAUUUGAGAGAGAACAUGUGAGUGCAAGUGCAAAUGGGGGAGGGGCUGAGGAAGAGGGAGAGAAUCUUAAGCAGACUCCACCCUGAGCCCAGAAUCCCAGUCAGGGCUCCAUCUCAUGACCCUGAGAUCAUGACCUGAGCCAAAAUCAAGAGUCAGACACUUAACUGACUGAGCCACCCAGGCACCCCUACUAUAUUUUUAUCAAUAAAAUAUUGUGGAGAUUUGUAUUCUAUAUUAUUAUACAUGAUAUUCCACAAAGCCUAAAAUAUUUACUACCUGACCUUUUACAGAAAAAGUUUGCAAUCCUUGCCUCAGAGACUUCUUGUACCACUUUUGGUAGUUAACAGCAUUUUGUUUACAUUUUUUCCUAUUUAAUUUUCUCUUUAAAUUACUGGAAUGGGGGAUGCCCGAUUGAAUGUCUGCUUGAAUGGUUGAAUGUUGCCUUUGGUUGAAUGUCUGCCUUUGGCUCAGGGCAUGAUCUUGGGGUCCUAAAAUUGAGUUCUGCAUUGGGCUUCCUGCAGGGAGCCUGUUUCUCCCUCUGCCUCUCUCUGUGUCUCUCAUGAAUAAAUGAAUAAAAUUUUUUUUAAAUAAAUAAAAUCUUGAUUUAAUUAA